GCUACAAAUGUCUCUAAUGCUCAGUGUAGGCAUGAACGCAGUGCCUGGAGUUUGCUGUCCAAGUAAUCUUAACCCAAAUUGUAAUGUCAAAGCAAUUGUUGAACUAACUGUAACUUUAAUCCCAUAUCUAGCUUAAAUUAGAACCCUCAUGCUUCAAAAUAUCAUUGUUCUAUCCCUAGAACAAUUACUUACUGUAAUUUUCCUCUUAAUGAAUGUUUCAAGCCUGUUUAGGAAUAGACAGACGCUGUCGUAAUGGUUACAGCCCCACCCUCUCCUAAUGCCGACUGCACUGGCAACUCGGAAUGCAACUCUGAAGAUGCACUGAGACCCUGCAUAUCCAGACCCUACUCAGACACCGUAGUGCUGCUGCCCCCUCCCCUGUCUCUCCCGUUUCUCUGGCACCGUUUCCAAUCUAGGUCUGCCGUUGCAGGACUUGACAGCUGAAAGAAGGUAAGCCCUCGGACCGCUGCACGCUGGGACCAGCACGGAGCGGCUCUGGGACGGGUGCGGUCGAGCCCGUGGAUCGUGCCCACAGCUGCACUCGCCCCAGGCACUUUGCUGCGGUGCUGCUGGUGGCAGCGGGGAACUGCGGUGCUCCUGUUUGGUGCCGGAACUGCAUGGAGAUCCAUGUGGCUCCUCAUGAAGUCAGCAAGACAUGGAAAUCUGGAUUUCCUGGAAUGCCUCGGAACCCUCCUUGUCUGUCUGGUAAUUGGUCGCCCAUAGAGCUCUGCAGCUGUGGGACUCAACGGCUCAAAGAAGGCCGGCCCUCGGACCACUGCACUCCGGGACCGGCAUGGGAUGGCUGUGAUGGGUCCAGUAGAGAACAUGGAUUGUACCGAUGGGUGCACUCACCCCAGGUGUCUUGCUGCGGUGCUACUGGUAAGAGCGAUGUGCA
rnacentral:lncRNA from 1 species